rnacentral:tRNA from 5 species
GCCCACAUAGCUCAGCGGUAGAGCACUUCCUUGGUAAGGAAGAGGUCACCGGUUCAAGCCCGGUUGUGGGCUCCA